CUGCAACUCGCCUGUAUGAAGUCGGAAUUGCUAGUAAUCGCGGAUCAGCAUGCCGCGGUGAAUACGUUCCCGGGUCUUGUACACACCGCCCGUCACACCAUGGGAGCCGGAAAUGCCCGAAGCCAGUGACCCAACCUUAGGGAGGGAGCUGUCGAAGGUGGAGCCGGUAACUGGGGUGAAGUCGUAACAAGGUAUC
rnacentral:rRNA from 1 species